rnacentral:rRNA from 1 species
GGGAAUCUUCCGCAAUGGGCGAAAGCCUGACGGAGCAACGCCGCGUGAGUGAUGAAGGUCUUCGGAUCGUAAAACUCUGUUGUUAGGGAAGAACAAAUUUGUUAGUAACUGAACAAGUCUUGACGAUACCUAACCAGAAAGCCACGGCUAACUACGUGCCAGCAGCCGCGGUAAUACGUAGGUGGCAAGCGUUAUCCGGAAUUAUUGGGCGUAAAGCGCGCGUAGGCGGUCUCUUAAGUCUGAUGUGAAAGCCCACGGCUCAACCGUGGAGGGUCAUUGGAAACUGGGAAACUUGAGUGCAGAAGAGGAGAGUGGAAUUCCAUGUGUAGCGGUGAAAUGCGCAGAGAUAUGGAGGAACACCAGUGGCGAAGGCGGCUCUCUGGUCUGUAACUGACGCUGAUGUGCGAAAGCGUGGGGAUCAAA